rnacentral:rRNA from 1 species
AUUGAACGCUGGCGGCAGGCUUAACACAUGCAAGUCGAGCGAGCGGCGGACGGGUGAGUAAUGUAUGGGAAACUGCCUGAUGGAGGGGGAUAACUACUGGAAACGGUAGCUAAUACCGCAUACCAUCAGAUGUGCCCAGAUGGGAUUAGCUAGUAGGUGGGGUAAUGGCUCACCUAGGCGACGAUCCCUAGCUGGUCUGAGAGGAUGACCAGCCACACUGGAAUGUGGACACGGUCCAGACCCCUACGGGGGGAAGCAGUGGGGAAUAUUGCACAUUGGGCGCAAGCCUAAUGCAGCCAUGCCCGGUGUGUGAAGAAGUCCUUCGGGCUGUAAAGCCCUUUCAGCGAGGAGGCGUUACUCGCAGAAGAAGCACCGGCUAACUCCGUGCCAGCAGCCGCGGUAAUAC